AAAUUACCACAAACUGGGUUACUUAAAAAGACAAAGUUUAUUUUCUCACAGAUUUGAAGGUCAGAAGUCUGAAAUCAAAGUGGGAGCCAUCCUCCCUCCCCAAGGCCCUAGCUCCUAGUGACUCCUGGCAAUCCUUGGUGUUUCUUGGUUUAUUCUGCAUCACUCCAAUCUCUGCUUCCAUCUAACCAUGGCAUUCUUUCCUGUAUCUCUGUUUCCUCUGUGCCUGGGUAUCUCUGUGCCCAAAUCUCCCUGUCCUUUCUUUGAUAAGGGUUCCUAUCAUUGGGUUUCAUGCCCACCCUAAAACCAGGAUGAUUUUAUCUAAAAAUUUUUAAUAAAUUACUACACCUGCACAGAUCCAAUUUCCAAAUAAAGUAACAUACUGGGAGGACAAUAUUCAACCCGCUACUAUGAUCAUGAUGAUGUCACAAUCUUGCAUUAUUUCAUGCCUUAAAAGUUGUCAGACAGAUCAGUUGUAGAGGGGAAGACCUACUGGGGUGAUUGGCCAAAAAUGUGGAGACCUCAGGAUAUGGCACAGGAAGUGAUCUUGGUCCUUGCAUGACAUGGCAGACGGACCUGCAGCAGCCUCAUAGCCUUGCAUGGCUUACAGCAUCCCCUGGCUCUGAUAUGCAUGGGAACAGAAUCAGCAAGUUCUACCCUAAUAUCAAAACUGAAUCACCAGCUACUAGACUAGACCACAGAACAGGUGCUUUUCUGUGUGAUUUGCAGGAAAUUCUCCCACCAGAGACCCGUAUUAUGCCUGGCAUACAGGAGGCAUUCAGAAAAUUUGAUGACUAGAAGUGUGUGUCCAUCUCAAUGACACAGGUCUCUAAAACCCUUGCUGCCAGUGUUUGGACCAAGAGGCUGGCAGCUAUGAUGGGAGCUCUGGUAGAAGGUAUUGUUUGUAACUGCUUGUGCUGCAUGGUAGGUCAGCCCAUGGCUAGCAGCACUAUUCAUACCCUGUCCUGUGCCGGAAAAACAAACGUGGGAUCCAGUAUAAGCUGUGUGUGCAAGAUAGCCUGGUCCAGGCAGAAACAUGGAAAUAUUCAUGGAGGUCCAAACAUCAUCCAUUCAUCCAUGAAAUCAAAGGCUCUUGAGCUCUUUUUAGGUCUUCUUUUAUGCAUAAAUAUACUACAUCUAUUAAAGGUAAGGGAACAUAAAACACAGCCAUUGUCCUCUGGAUAUGCACAAUAUGGAGUUUGUAUCCUCCUCUCCACAAUGCAGAGUGGCAGAGGCUAUUACUUCAUAAUGCAAUUCAUUAUAUUUUUGAAAUGGUCAAAUUGUUAACAAGUUCUUUGUUACAGCAAAUAUAAGUCUAGUUUUCUGUAAUUUCAAUUUACUUAUUGUUCUUUUCAGAUCCACUAGAGUAAUUCUAAAAUCAAUUCUAGCUCUAUUGGUAGCUACUCAACUAUUUGAAGAUUUUUAAAAAUGUUCACUCUCCCUCACCCAAAUAUUUUCUCUUCCAUUCUAAACACCUCUAGAUCAUUGAACUGCUUUUUUUUUUUAUCGGUAAAGCUUAUUUAAGUGUUUCUCAUUAAAAAUAAUUUCUAGGCAUUUCACCAUCCUGCUUAUUUUGUCCAAUAUGCUCUAGUUUGUCAAUGAUCCACUUAAAAGAAACAUUUCUUAAAAAAAUAUUUUAAGCUUUUUCUGACCAAUGCUAGAUACAGAACUGC
ensembl:lncRNA